UACGUAGGGACCAAGCGUUGUUCGGAGUUACUGGGCGUAAAGGGUGCGUAGGCGGCUUUUUAAGUUUGGUGUGAAAUCUCCCGGCUCAACUGGGAGGGUGCGCCGAAUACUGAGAGGCUAGAGUGCGGGAGAGGAAAGUGGAAUUCCUGGUGUAGCGGUGAAAUGCGUAGAUAUCAGGAGGAACACCGGUGGUGUAAACGGCUUUCUGGACCGUAACUGACGCUGAGGCACGAAAGCGUGGGUAGCAAACAGG
rnacentral:rRNA from 1 species